UCUUGGCUAUUUGAUGGAGAUGAUACUCGACCAUGGAUGUUGUCUUUCUUGGUUGGUGUUAGAUGUUGUGUUGAUGAGGUAUGAAGAUGAUAGAGUUUGAGUGCUUAACAAAAAGGAUUGGAUGUGAGUGUGUGUGAGAAUUUGAAAAGGAUGGGUCUUAGCAACUUCAUGAAGUGUUCGGCCAUGGUGCUAAAAUGUUGUAUUGUGUUUAAACUUAGAAUUUUUAGUUAUAUGGUUAGUAUAGGUGUGGAUAACCGAAUAUGAGAGCAUGAAUAGAUGAAGAGUUUUGUAAUUAUAAAAAAAAAAUGGGUUAAUUGAUAUGUGGUAAAUGUUAAGUGUUAAAUGAAAUGGAAAUGAUAUCAUAUUGGAAUAUGUAUACUCGACCACAUGAAUGAAUACAUAGAUUGGUGUUGCAUGUAUUCGGCUAUAGGUAAGCAUAUUGAUGAUUCUAUCUUGACUUAGAUAAUUGGCUAAAGGAGAAUAUUAGCUAAUAUGUUGAAUUUGAUUCAUGAUUUCAUAUAUAUGACUCUAAUGUCUAAUAUGUAUAUGGGCUAAGUACCUUAAAUUUCUCUUGAUGUUCAAGAUGAUUAAAUCAAUUUAUUUGUUAAAUUAAGCUCAAGAGCAAAGGGGAACUAAAUCCGAUAAAGGAAAGGAAAACGUAAUUGAAUAGCCGUUGAAGUCAUUCGACAACAUCCGAGAUUUUGUUCGUUAGCUAUCGGACUCGGGAUUGUCAAAGUCGAAGUCGUCCACACUAUCUAAGCCCUUUUGGUACUCUUUUAGUUGAACUUCGAUAGUGGCAUGUAUAGGACUGACCUUUGUUGUUAAUUAAGUACCUUUUGAUAAUGUAUACAUUCGGAUAGCCAUGCGAAAAUGGCUUAUAUAUUUUGAGCAUAGCAUUAUAAUCAUUUUGUAUAUAUGUUUAUUGAGUGGUAUGGAAAUGCUUGGUAAUGACUA